rnacentral:rRNA from 1 species
AUUGAACGCUGGCGGCAUGCCUUACACAUGCAAGUCGAACGGCAGCACGGGAGCAAUCCUGGUGGCGAGUGGCAAACGGGUGAGUAAAGUAUCGGAACGUGCCCAGUCGUGGGGGAUAACGUAGCGAAAGUUACGCUAAUACCGCAUACGAUCUAUGGAUGAAAGCGGGGGAUCGCAAGACCUCGCGCGAUUGGAGCGGCCGAUAUCAGAUUAGGUAGUUGGUGGGGUAAAGGCUCACCAAGCCGACGAUCUGUAGCUGGUCUGAGAGGACGACCAGCCACACUGGGACUGAGACACGGCCCAGACUCCUACGGGAGGCAGCAGUGGGGAAUUUUGGACAAUGGGCGAAAGCUGAUCCAGCCAUGCCGCGUGCAGGAUGAAGGCCUUCGGGUUGUAAACUGCUUUUGUACGGAACGAAAAGGUUUGGCCUAAUAAGCUGAGCUCAUGACGGUACCGUAAGAAUAAGCACCGGCUAACUACGUGCCAGCCGCCGCGGUAA